rnacentral:lncRNA from 1 species
CCUCUGGACUGAAGGAUCACUCCCAAACUAUAGCUGCGGUCCAUAGGGUGUGUCCUGACCUGUGCACAAAAGGGAACAGAAGCUUAGUAUCAGCACAACCGACCCCAUGUACAGGUAAGUUCUCGGCCUAACCCCGACGGGGUAGUGACAAGGCUUAACCGGACCUACCACAAUCAACCUGUACAGAUGUAUGUGCAAUAAUAAAAAAAAUUACAAAAUCUAAAUAGAUAACGGGAAGGGGACAUGCUGGGGGUAUAGCAGUUCAAUAAUCUAAUCAUCAACAACAAGGAAGCGGAAAGAGUAUAACAAACACCAAUAUGAGAAGGACCAGUAAAACAAACGUUGCACGGCACCACCCAUCGUGCUUUUAUUACUCAUCCUCACCCAAUCAAUAGUAUGGAGUAGAUCAAUGAUUAUAUGCGUCUACAGUGGACGGCGCGCCACACGCUCUCGUAUUCACUGUGCACAAUGUCACCAGCAUCUCAGGCCAAUAACAGUAGGUGGACGGCUUGCCACACGAUCCCAUUCAUAUAUCUCGUUGUCGGCGUGCCACACGAUACCAUUCAUAAUAUAUCGUGGUCGGCGUGCCACUCGAUCCAAAUUUGUAAUGCAAUUGAAUAAUGCUAACAAUCUCUUCACGGAAGAUUCCGAUUGGGAAGCAUAUCAUUAUAACAGUUAGCCCGGCAAGGGUACAGCUAGCAGCCCAAAAUAUCCCCGCAAGGGAAGAACAACUCCACAACUAGUCUUGGCAAGGUAAAAUGAUUCAACAUCAAUUCUCGGCAAGGGAAAACACCAUAAUUCCUUCCUUAACUCACUUUCUUCUCAACUAUCAUUUCACAGUUCAUUUAACAAGUAAUUAUCACAAUUGUUCACUUCUUUCGACAAUUUAAUAGCAAUUACGACUCACGGUCAUGCUAGACUCGGGCGCAUAGGUAACCGUCGCCAUACCUACACACCGAUUCCACAUAGCACAUAGCAAAUAUUAUCCUAAUCCUAUACCCUCAAGCCAAAGUUAGAUCAAACACUUACCUCAAAUUCGAAAAUAGCAACUCAAAGCUCAACAAUCGCCUUUCCUCUAGAAUUCGACACCGAACCAACGAUAUCUAACAAAAUCAGGUUCAAUAUUAUCAAUAAGAAUCCAAAACGACUCACGGUCAUGCGAGACUCGGGCGCAUAGGUAACUGUCACCAUACCUAUACACCAACUCCAUAUAGCACAUAGCAAAUAUUAUCCUAAUCAUAUUCCCUCAAGCCAAAGUUAGAUCGAACACUUACCUCGAAUCCGAAAAUGGCAACUCAAAGCUCCACAAUCGCCUUUCCACUACAAUUCGACUCCGAACCAACGAUAUCUAACAUAAUCAGGUUCAAUAUUAUCAACAAGAAUCCAAAAACACAAUCCCAUAGCCUAGAAAUGCAUUUCCUUGCUUACUUUCAAAAAUACUAAAAUCCGACACCGGCCCACAUGGUCCAAACUCGAGUCUCGGACCAAAACCCAAUCCCCCAUGACCCCACGAGUUCAAAUAAGUAAUUAGAUUUUAAAUUUGACCUAAAAUUAAGGUUGAAAUACCCAAAAUCCCAUAAACCCCAACUAAACCUAAAACCCCUAAAUUCUACUUUGAUUUUAUGUCUAAGUUCAAAACUUUCAAAUUUUCCACUUUUAGUCCGAAACAUGUCAAACGGCGUCAGUUUUCAACCAAACUUUACGGAGAGCGCUUAACGCCCAUUUAAGACUUGUACAAGGCGUCGGAACAAAAAUACAAUCCCGAUACCAUUAUUUUUUAUCAAUUUUCGUUUUCAUUUUUCCUGAAGCAUUUUCAUAAAAUAAUUUCACAGAAAAACUCCGAACUCGGGCCUGGGACCUCGAAAUUUUGAUUCCAAGAAUAUGCCCAUGUACCAAAUUUCAUUACAGACCAUGCGAGACCGUCACAUCACGGGUCCGGGUCCGUUUACCCAAAAUGUUGACCAAAGUCAACUAUAGCAAUACUAGUAUCAAAAUUCAUAGUUUUAACACAGAAUUUAAUUAUUUUGACAUAAAAAUCUUCCGGCUUCACGCCCGGAAUGUGCACGCAAAUUGAGGCAACAAAAUAAUCGGUUUUCAAGGCCUCAAAAGUGCAAAGAAUGGGAGAAUUAGAGUGAUGACCCCUUUGGGUCGUCACAUUGCCUUUGCCCGGCUUGGACUACAGCACAUACUCAAAAUCGGUCAAGAAAUCCUACCACCUAACUUGGUUUGGUAUGAGCUUAUUCUGCAUCUGAAAGUAGCUAGUAUCCGCAUUGUCGGUCUUGACAACGAACUUCAACUCGAGUAAAUAAUGUCCCCUUGUAUGGAGGAAAUGCACAAUGGAAAUCAUUUCCUUCUCUUGCUCUGUGUAACGUUGUUCCAUCUCAUUUAACGUAUGGCUCUCAAAGGCUAUGAGAUGCUUAUCCUGCAUUAGGAUACCCCCAAUGGAAAAUUAUAAGGCAUAUGUGUGCACCUCGAGUGUCUUGGCAAAGUCCAAUAAUGCCAACAUUGGCUCCUCCAUUACAAGUGCUCUACGGCCUUCAAACACAUUUUGACAAUGCUCCGUCCAAGCCCAUGGCUUGUUCUUCUUCAAAAACUCAUAUAAUGGUACGGCCUUUACAAAGUAGCCACUGAUGAAUCAACGCUAGUAGUCAGCAAGGUCAAGGAAGGAUCUCAACUUAAUUACCUUUAUAGGUUCCUCCCACUCCUGGAUAGCAUGUAACUUAGCCGCGUCCAUGCAUAGCUUUCCAUUGAUAAUUACAAGGCCUAAGAAUUGCACUAUUAAUUAUGCAAACUCACAGUUCUCCCUCUUGAUGUAUAGAUCGUUCCCCCGCAAUACUUGGAAAACCUUACUUAAGAUCUUCAUGUGCUCCUCCAAGGUAUUGUUGUAGAUGACUAUGUCGUCUAGGUAGACUACCAUGAACUGAUCAAGGUAGGGAUUGAAAAUCUUGUGUAUAUGAGUGCAAAAUGUGGCAGGUGCAUUGGUUAAGCCGAAGGGAAUCACCAACCACUCAAAGGCUCCAUAUCUCAUCACACAUGUUGUUUUGGCUUAUCCCCUUCUGCAAUGCGAACGUGGUAGUAACCCAUGCAAAUAUCCACCUUGGUAAAGUACUUGACUUGCCCAUGUGAACAACUCAGCAAUGAGUGGCAUCAGGUACUUAUUAUUCAAUGUGAAAUUAUUAAAUGCUCAGUAGUCUAUGCACAAGCGUAGCGACCCAUCCUUCUUCUUCUAGAACAAUGCUGUUGUACCGGAAGGUGCCAUUAAUGGGCGAAUGUGACCAGCAUAUAGCAGCUCUUUCAAUUGUUCCUGAGCUCCUCUUGCUUGGGCGGUGCAAUACCAUACGGGAAAAGGCGGGUGGCUUAGCCCUUGGCUCCAACUCAAUCUUGUGAUCCACCUCUGCCCUAUGCGGAAAGUGCUUAGGCAACUCCUCAGGCAUGACAGGUUUAUUUUCCUCAAGCAACUUCUCUAUUCAAGAUGGCAAUAUCUAUUGAAAACUAUUUUCUUCCUCUACACUUUCAAUGGUUACCACAAACGUCGGCUCCCCCUUCUUGAUCCCCUUGACAAUCUGCAUAGCUGAGAGUUCUGCUUGGAUCUGCCCGUGUGGCAUGGUCACUGUAGGUACCAUUCAAGUGCAUUCAUGCUCCAUAACCAAGAGACGUUGGGGGUAGGGGUCGAUGAAAGUAUGACAAUCUCUAAUGAACUCUUGCCCUAGUAUAAUGUCAAAGAUAUCCAUUGCGGUUACGGUAAGGUUUGUCAAACCUUUCCAAGUUCACAAUUCGACACCAACUCCAUUAGUUACCUCACGGGCAUUUUGUACCUCGGCAUUUACGGUCUUGACGAGAGAUUUGGUUGGAGCAAGCUUCAAGUCUAGUCUCUUUGCGGCAGCCUCAGUCACGAAAUUAUGAGUAUCUUCAGUAUCCAUCAUUGCACAAGCAGUCUUGUUUUUUAUGGUGAGAUCUAUAAACUGAUUGUCAUUCUCGAUAGGUUGGAUAUCUUGCUUCAUGAAAACACCACAAAAUCCUAUCAUACCCAACUUUCUCACCACAUAGUUCUUAUUUCUGAAAGCCCCAAAAGUUGUCAUUUGGUAAAACUGAUAAAACUCUCCUCAAAUAACUAUUUCUACUGGCCCUAGAUCCAGUCUUCUCUUGGCUUUAUAUAACUCAAGCCUAUUAUAAUGCUCAAACUGCGCUAAUCCAACCUCGAGGUUUCAUAAGCCGAGAAUUAAGCAUACUAUCUAUACUUCAAUAAGUUUCCAAACAAGGAUAAGAAAUUGCAGAACGAAUAUAGGGAUAUUGUCUCUGCUACAGAAUCUGCACAAGCUAAUUAAAACAAAUAAAAAGAAUGUACAAAUGUACCAGCUACUUAAAGCUUUAGUAUAACAGUCGAAACCAAUGCCUUGUAGUUCAUAUGAUCUUAGCUGCUUAAAUCUGAACUUAGACUAUAUAGAUCAAUCCAUUUUGCUAUCAGGACAACAUUUCAUUAUUUGCACAUCGAACUGGAGAGAUAUGUCAAAAAUACAAGAUCGACCAGUAUUUUUCUUUUAACUUUUAUAAGAGAAACGAAAAUAAACACCUUAUCUGGCAAGCGUGUAAAAUGCCAAACCACAAAUAUUUUUUACUACUUCAAGACUAACUAGACCAUGUUAAUUUACAUUUCUCAAACUUUCUCCUUGCGACUGCUCCUUCCGUUCAUGGCUUGGUCUAUAUCCGCGACUUGCCGGCAUUGUAACUCCUGCUUAGCGCAAUUUUGUAGCCCGUCCAUGAAGUGGAACAACAAGUCAUCAUUGCUCAGAUUGGGGAUUUAAAUCAUAAGGGUAUUGAAAUCAAUGACAUAGUCAUGUAUGCUUCUUUUUUGCUUCAAUUCCCUAAACUUGCACCGUCCUUGUACAAGAAAUUUUUUGGAAAAAACUAUUGCUUGAACUCGGAUUUGAACUGAUCCCACGUGCUAAUAGUACAUAGACCUUUAUCCACAUCAGCUAUCUUUCUUCUCCACCAUAGCAUGGAAGUCUCUAAUAGGUACAACACGGCAGUGUUGAUCUUGGCCUCAUCGUCCCUCACUUUAUCCACGGAAAGUUUUCCACCUCUUGUGUAUCACGAACACCUUUGAACAUCGGGGGUCUGGGAGCCUCUAUCUUGGCUUCUCUUGUCACCAUAACAUUGAUGGUUGCCUCGGUCAAACCAGCAUCGACAUGCUCCUCGAGUGACUAUCUUUGCCUUAAUAGCAUCGAUAGUACUUGAAGCUUCCAUGGGUCUACACUCCAAGUCAGUGAUUGUUUGCCUUAGUUCCAUCUUGCUCUGUGUACGUCCCUCCAAGAAUUUCGGAUACUCUCAAUUUAUUCAAAAUUGUGCCCCUCAAGAACUCUAAGGAUGCCUUCCACCUUCCCCAAGAGUUGGCCAAAUAUCUCCACGGUGUUGAUCCCCGCGUUCAUCUUCAUCACCACUCUUUACCAAGCGAGACGUCCUCCGAUAGGAAUUCUACUUCAUCCUCGCUAGCCUCAGUGGCAGAUGGUUCUUGGGAUGUAAGCCCCUAUUUUAGCACAACCUCGGGCAGCACCCCAUGCUCUUGUUGGUGGCAUUCCUCUUUUUGUUACCGUCAUUCCUGCCAGCAGCAACCUGGAUGACUUUGGCUUGGGUGUCGGCAGCAUUAAUUUCUCCAUCGUUCGUCAUUCCCUUAGUUGCAACCAUUGCUCUGAUACCACGUUGUCAUGUCCCUAGUCGUUAGUUAAAUACACGUGCGGCACUUAACAACUUGCUCACUAUCUUGCACAACUUUCUCGAGUUCUUGCUAUGCCAAGUCAGUCUUACUACACUUAAGAUGGCUAAGAGAAUGGUAGAACGAACACAAGAGAAUUGUUAAAGGAAGCCUUGUAUUAGAGAGAGAACUUGAAUUCUUUGCUUGGUGAAUUAUAAAUGAAUGACCCUCUUUAUAUACUAGUCUCUUAGGGGCUAAUGUGUAAAUAUUAAUUGUUACACAAGUCCUUAAUAUUUACAAGAUAAGGGCUUUCUCUAAUAUUCUCUACAAGCCUAGAAGUUUCCAAGACUUUCCUAGCAAAUUCAUAGGGAUCUGGGGUCUUCCAAAGGAAAUGCCCAUACUUAUCUAGAAUCUUUUCACCAAUGCUAGCCUUACUCCUAUGUAAAUUUCCACAUUUCAUUGAUAUAUGUCAAAUAGUGCCUAAUACGAUAUGAUGAUGUGGCGGGUCAUCACACUUUGCACUAAUUUCCUGAUAUAUUUCAGAAGUGACCUACCGAAGUUUAUAUGACAAAUCACAACCAUCAUUAUUCUAAUAAUGGUAAAAAUACUACUCACAUUCAAACCAAACUACUAUGUAAUACGUGUAACUUUAAUUUCAUUCACACGUUACAGUCGUAGUUAGUGUACAACUUGCGUCGCGCAAUCAUGUAAACAAAUUAAAAGAUGAUUAAAUUUAAUAAUCGUUUUAGGAGGGACAAUUUCACAUAUUUCUGUCAAAUCCUUCACCAAUGUCUUCUAAGAUGCUCCGGUCUUUGGUUGACGCUUCGGUUGCUUCCACCUGUGGCCUUUUUCGACCGCCUUGACGCGCGGCCGACUGGUUGGCAUCUGAAGCGCUGAAGCAGCAGCGAGGUUAUCAACAGCUUUUGACCUGUUUGCCUGGACAUAAAAUACCUAAAGAAGAAGAAAGAGAAAAAAAAACAUUAUUGUAAAUGGCACGAGAAAUUGACUCCUCACCUGAGGGCGGGAACCGUCUUAUCUUAGGGUAGGGGGUCGAUGUGCCACCAAUACAUUCUACCUUUUAAAUCUGGCUUUACCUGGGCCGCGUCUCGACUACUUGCCUUCGCCCAAACGUUCAACUACAGUUGAACUGGUACUUAGGCUAUGUGCCUUCGACUUCAACAAAUUACAAAGAUUCAACUACAGUUGAACGACAACUCAGGCUACGUGCCCUCGCCUAAAAGUUUGACUACAGUUGAACGGCAACUCAGGCUACGUGCCCUUGCCCAAAAGUUCAACUACGGUUGAACAAGGACUCAGACUACGUGUCCUCGAAUAAAAGUUCAACUACCGUUGAAAUGGGAUUCAAGCCAAGUGCCUUCGCCAUUAAGAAUUACAAAACGUUCGACUACGGUUGAAUGGAAACUCAGGCUACGUGCCCUCACCCAAAAGUUCAACAACUGUUGAACUGGGACUCAGGCUGUGUGCCUUCGACAUAAAAAAAUUACAAAGGGUUCAACUACGGUUGAACUGGGAUCAGGCUAUGUGCCUUCGCCAAUAAGAAUUACAAAAAGAUCAACUACGGUUGAACCACUCAGGCUACGUGCCCUCGCCCGAAAAGUUCAACUACGAGUAGAAUUAGGGCUCAGGCUACACACCUCCAUCACAAGAGUCACGAACUAAACCACGGACAAAUUAAAGCAAAGAAUGCACGCCCCCGCGGCUACGAGUCUGGCCGUAAUCAGGCGAAAUCGAAUGCCCCCAAUUGUUCAACCAUGAUUGAACCCCAGGUCGGGCCAAGCGUCCCCUCCAUUCAAGUAAGUAUGACUAACUUUACACUACAAUUUCGUCACGCGUAAAGUUCGGCCCAAGUCGAACUACAAGGCUAUGCUUUUCACUAGUACGGCCGGUAGUCUGACUAAGCCCGAACUGGGACUAAGGCUAUGUGCUGCCGCUGCCCAAACACAUCUACAACCCACCCCCACCAAGUAGAGUAAGGUGACGACCAAAAGCGUCUGUCUAUGGCCAAAGCCGUCUACACAAAUUUUUCCAUAAGGUAAGGAAAAAAUCUGACAAUGGUCGAAAUCACCUAACCGGUCGAGACCAUUAGCAUGCUCACUAGAAAAUCCCUAAGGCAAGGCCCUCUCAAACGAGCACAAAAAAGAAGCGCACAACAUUGAUACAAAACAAAUAGAAAGGAAGGAAGCCAAAUAUAUUUACAAUAUUUACAAGGGGUUACCCCUAAUUACAUUGGCCCAAGACCAGCAAAAAAAAGGGGGAGACAACCAAAUAGCAACAAAAAAAAAGAGAAACAGAGAAUGAAAACUAAACAAAUAUUACAAAUCUUUGUUCACUCGGUGUCACCAGCACCCUUUUAAACAAUGUCAACGCCCUCGGUGCCAUCAUCACCCCUGGGCGCAGAUGGGCCAAACCGCAGUCGAGGCGGGCAUCACGAGCCUUUUGGUGUGCCUCCUCAUAGGUGGCCUCAGGCACAACGCCGGCUUCCCACAACCUCAAAUACACGUUGAGUUGGGCCUUGGCGUAUGUCCAAAGCUCACAAGAAGGACUGAAAGAAGUGGCCUGAUUCCUCAUGUGCUGGUUCUCAUCCUCCAAGGCCGCAAUCCAGUUUUCCGCAGUACGGGCAUCCCACUCACAAAUAGUAAUGCGCCCCUCCAAUGCCCUCUCUCGGAAAGUAGCGGCGGCCCUCUCCAAUCCGCGUUAUCUUUCUUGGGAGCCCUUGGUUGCCUGCAACGUUUCGACCCUCCCUGGGGCGUCCUCCGCCUGCUUCCUCAUGGCAGCAGUAUCCGUCUCUAGGGCAGCCACCUGCCUAGUCAAAGCAUCACCGGCCUCUGCUGUCGUAGCCCGAUUUUGUCGCUCUCUCUCAGGGGCCGCCUUCUUUCAGUGCCCAUCUCCUUGUUUCUUUGAUGGAGCUGCCCCUCAAGGGCAUUUACCCUGUUAAGGGUCUGCUGCAUAUGAAGUUCCCUCCUCGCCACCUGUUCUACCAGCUCUCGAUUCCACGGGUCAUUCCUUAAGCGUUCACGCAAAUCAUGGCAUCGGUUCCGAUAGCGGCGGUACUUCUCCAAUAACUGCACAAAGACAGUCGAGCGGAUGUUGGCUAGGUGAAUGCUCUCCACCUCCAACAAGAAUGACUGCGGCAAGCAGGACAACGAUUAAUAUAAGAAGAUACACUAAGAAAAGAAAUUAACUGAGGCUUCACACAUACCUUUAUACUCAGAGCAGGUACCUCACCCAUCAACCCAACAUCUCAGAUGCCCCUCAAGGACGCACUCUCCACCUCCGAGCACAUAAACUCGAACAGUGUCACCAGAUUCUCCUCUUGGAGCAGAAGGUUCUGCUUAUUAGGAAUCUCUACAUCGUGGUAAUCCCCUUCGGCUUGCACCGCUGGGUGAGUAUAACCCUUCUGAAACAGACGGACGUCCUCAAGGUCCAUGUCGGACUCAAAAUCAUCGCCCUUUCCUAAGGCACCCUUUCCUUCUGCUGCCGUGGAAGUCGAGGCCUCCGCUGCUCGGGAAGUUGAAGCACCCGCACUUGCUAAAACCUCGGCACCCAUCUCCUCCUCAAAAUUAUUUGCUGAGGAACUACCUUCCCUCUCAGCAACACGAACUGAAAUUAGAAUCACCGAAGCGAUUGUGUCACUCUGGCCUAAGCCAAUCGGGGCAGCCCCAACUGAACGCUCGCCCUCUGGGCAGGAUCUGUGGCAUUCCCUUUUGCUUCCGAUGGCAGAGAAUCCAAGCUAAUCAUCACCGGAAGGACCGGGGUGAACGCCACCCUACGUCCAACCAGCGACAUCUCCUCUUCUUCCUCCUCUUCAUUCGGCGGCAACUCCACCCUGGAACGCACGGUCCCUAAAGAUUCUUUAACUCGGUGCAUAGUCCGUGCUGGAGAGUGAGCCACCAAGGAUUCAACCAAAGUCUCUCUCGGAAGUGGGCGAGGCCCCGGCAUUGCAAUCAAGCAGGCAGUCGCCCCCGACCUACGGAAAGCAAGCUGAAGAGCCCUCCUGCGAUGCGUUCACCCUAGUUGACAAAGGAAUAAAGGUCAAAGAAAAAUAAAUUUGAGUACUAUGAAAUAAGAGCAAUACAACAAGUUAAAUUCUUACCAGCAGCCGGCCUACGGCCAUGAGUCUCCCAGAAAGAUGCCCACGUACGAAUUCCCUCUAUAACAGGAAGCACGGCCUUGACCCUCUCGCGGAUGCCGGAAAGCAAUGCCGGCGGUGCACCCCCAGCUACGGCACAAGAAGAAGUUCAGUAUGUACGAAUAUGAAACGGGACAUUUUUUCAAAAGAAAUCAAGACCAGCGUAAAAGAAACUUACGUGCAUGAUUCCAUUCCUCCAGGAUGUUAGUAGCGCAAGCCACUAGGUGCUCCUGAUGUAGAAAAAAUGCUCAUAGGGACGGGUAUCGACCUCGUCAUCAAGUUCUGCAUUUAAGCUGCCGGCCCCAUGAGGAACCAACCGAAUCAUGGUGCCUCGUACCCUCUAGGGGGCAUAGAGAGUUAACACAUGCCCAAGGGUAAUCUCCCUCCGUUCCAACUCCGCAUAUUUUAUCAACAUCGCCAACAGCUUGUAGCGGGAGGGGACAAGCUGAUCAGGGCAUACAUUGUAGUAGCGACAGAAGUCCACCACUAGCAUUGGGAGAGGAAGUCUGAAUCCUAGCUUGAAAGGGUAGGCGUAAAAGAUGCAAUACCCUCGGUGGUCAACAUGUACCCUCUCCCCGCUCCUAGCAAGAACGAUGUCAGCAAAGCGAGAAAUGUCACAUUGAUCCUUCAAUUGGGCGAUGCCCACCUCCCCCACCAAUGGGGAUUCAUCCAUUUGGUCCUCUCCUUCAUAAUCGGUGAAAUCGCCCGUCGGACUGCCGAGCAGAGAGAGAAUGUGGAUCACCUAUGGGAGCCUGUCAAUACCCGCCGAAUCGAUGGUUCUCACCACCGUUGAUGGACCCUCGGCUGCCGGAACUACCACUGGAGCAAUAUCAGAACGAGAACUACUCGCCAUUGUCAAUAUAUCAAAAGAAAGUGAGCAAAGUUCAUCGGAAAAGCGAAGGAAAAUGAAGAUCUGACGAUAGACAACGGAGAAUAAAGUAACAAAGAAUAGAAGAUAAAGCAAUCCGAGAAUAAAAAGAGUUAUCUCUCUCAAAAUUUCACUUGAGCAAAUACUGGAAAAGUAUGAAUUGAAGGAUACAACCCUUUAUUUAUAGACAAAGCAUAAAUGGCUUUAUUCCAAAGGCCAUCGUUAACUGCCUGACCUACCGCAAAACAGUUCAGAUCUAUAGUAACAGACAUCAUUAUGACAAAUAUCGUGGAACGGCCAUUCAACCGUCAGUCGGCACAUCACCCUCGAAAAUGGUUGUAACGGUCCCAGGACACCAAAAGCAUGUCUCAUGCGUCACUAAGCGUAUAACGCCUCCCCUAUAUGCGGCAAGACUAAUCGUAUCCCUGCCAAACGUGCGUAAUUGGCUACUGCCGUCUCUAGAUCAAUAGUGGCUAUGGCUAUCUUCAAAAUAAUUCUGGCCACGACCGUCUCCAAAAGUAAUAGUAAUUGCAUCUAUCUUUGAAGCAACAACAACCACUGCAGUAUCUUGAAUACAAAAUAAUUACAACAAUCCCCUUAGUAAGAGUGGCUACGGCCCUCUCAAAGCAAGGAACGGUUAUCUCCGUCUCGCAAAAAUAAGGUGACUACAACCGCCAGCCCGAAAAAGGGUAUAUAUAAACAAAAGGUCACGGCCGUUUCAGAUAAACGAACGGCUAUGGCCAGUCGCUCGUAUGAAAACCAACCAAAGAAUUGCGACCGCGGUCGUCGAUCGUGAAUUCACUUAACAAACAGCUCCAUCGCAGUCAAGGACUGUUCAUGCAAAAUGGCUACAGCCAUUUCCAAAAAAUAAAUGGCUACGACCAUCUUCAAAGUAUAAAUGGCUACGGCCAUCUCCAAAAAAAAUAAAUGGCUACGGCCAUCUUCAAAGUAUAAAUGGCUACGACCAUCUCCAAAAAAAUAAAUGACUACGGCCAUCUUCAAAGUAUAAAUACCUACGGCUAUCGGCAAAAUCCGCUCACCGAGCUCGGCCGGAUCCCGACCUCAAUAAGUGGAGGGACUAUCUGUAUGGGUCAAAUUUAGAUUCAUGGUAAGUAGCUCGUCUAACUAGCUCCUAAGCUCGUUCGGGCUAAUAAAAGGUAUAACCAUUCACUGACCAAAGUACUUCAAGGUUAUUCAACCUAAUUAGUAAGAUCACAGCCUACUCAUUGCACAUGGACGUCCCUUCGACGCAGCUACGGUCAUCCCUCGCCAGUUGGAAAGAUUCAUAGCUAUAAAUAUAAAGAGAAAAAACCCUAAAAGGGGGCUUCUUGUUCUUCUUUUUCACAUCUACUUCUAAGAGAAGCGAAUAUACAUCAUUGUAAGGCUCUGAACCUCUCCAUGGAGAGGCAGACAAAAUCAAUAUCAUUAAUAAAAGAUCUCUACUCUCCUCCCCUCAACCAAUAACUACUGUCUCUUACAUUUUAUUCAUUUAGUCAUUCGAUUUAUUACGAUCAGCUAUGAUUGGCCCUCGGUUGAUUUUAAUUGAUUUAUGCUUACAAAGUAUAUGAGAAAUUUGAGCUACACAAUAUGCAUAAGAGUUACCUAUAAUAUUUUCAUCACUUUACUUCCUUUUGAUAUUUAAAAAUUCAGGACAUAAGUGAUAAGCCUAUAACACUUCUUGUGAGGACAUUUGUUAAAACAUGAUUAAUAGAACUGUAUGAGGUAAAAAUGUGGUUCACCUUGCCGCCGUCUAACUGAGUACACUCCACACAAUGAGGCCUCCCUCAAAUCCUUACUAAUUAGACGAGGACGGCCCGAUCAAGGACGUCCUGAUUUAUUAAGCAGAGAAACGACACAGUUUUGAGCUAAGCCUCGACCGUAAAAAAGUCCAACAACCCUUGUACUUUACUUUUGGUGUAUUUCAAGAAAAGGUAUCCUAGUAUAUAAAGGGGACCUUAAAUUUGUAAUAGGGCAGAUUGAUUACUCUAAAUAUACCAACACUCUCUCUAUCUCUACUGUUAUCGAACUCUCUCUCUCUCUCUGUCUCUCUACUAUUAUCAAGCAAACUUCUUCAUAUUUCUUUAUCUCUUUCUAACAGCAAGAACUCUCUGUUAUCUUUUAUACCUUAAAGAUCUACCACGAUCCCAGUACAAUAACCAUUUCUAGGGCUUAUUAUACUUGAUUACGAUUUACCCCCAUAUUUUUUUGAUUGUUUUCUUAGCUUAUAAAGUGCAUAGAUCUUUUGAGAAAAAUAAUUUGGUGCCGUCUGUGCGGAUUUCAAGAAUAAAAGUUAUAGUUUUUUCCUAGAAAACUACCGACAACCAUCCUUUUCAUCACACAAACGAGUAUGGCUGACAACUGUGCGAAAAAGAAAGCGAUAGAUGGGGUUGGGGUCAACCUCAUGGAUUCGCUCAAUGAGGUAGGUUAAUGUAAUCUCUUGAACGCAACCCCCAGCACCAUGAUGAGCGGAGGAACCCCAUGUCACACCUCAUUUUUAGUUAUACACCCCCGCAAAGGCAUAAAGGAUUUUUUCCACUUAAAGGACAAUCGAAACGGGAUUUAGUUUAUUAAUUAUUUCAGAGUCGCCACUUGGGAGAUUAAUGGUGUCCCAAGUAACCAAUUGAAUCCCGAACCGAGGAAAAAGACUACUCUAUUCACACUUUGCGAACCAGAAAUACGGAUAAGGAAUUCUGUUAACCCGGAAGAAGGUGUUAGGCAUUCACGAGUUCCGUGGUUCUAGCACGGUCGCUCAACUGUUGCAUUUGAUUUUAUCUGAUUUUGAUAUAUGCUAGCAUAUGUGCCUUUUACAAAACCGCUUUUACCAUUAUUUAUUUUAAAGGAUUUUCGAUGUCGUGAAAAAACGUCUUUGACCACGUCGCUAUCAGGGCACCCGUAGUCAUCGACACAUUUUGACUUCGUCGAGAAUUGGAUUUGGGUCGCAUCAAUGUGCACCCGAGUUUAAGAAAAUAUAUUAAUUAAAUCGCGCUUAAAUGUUCUAACUAAUAUUGUUUGGGAAAGGCCGUUGAAAUUCACUAAAAGGCCCUUCCUAAUUCAAACCAUUUUUAAUAAACAAUUAUUGAGGGCCCCGCAUUUAUUUUUGUUCGGUGAGGCUCGUCUCCAUUUUUAAAACCAAUUUUCGAUCGUUGUUUAUUUUAUAAGAACCCGGUCGCCAUCAAGGCACCCUUCGUCAUCAACACAUUUCGACUUCGCCGAGAUUUGGAUUUGGGUUGCAUCAAUGCACACCCGAAUUUAGGAAAGUACUUUAAUUAAAAUGCGUCUACAGAUUCUAUCGCAAAUUUAUUCAGGGAAAGCCGUGAAAUUCACUAAACGACCCUCCUGAUUCUAAUAAAUAAUUAUAAUUAUUUAUUGAGGGCCCCACAUUUAUUUUUGUUUGGUGGGGCUCGUCUCAACAAUUAUUAAAAGGCCAACUUAGAAGUGACUAUGGUUUUUCUAUCUAAAUCCGUCUCUAAACGAAAAGAAAAAAAUCAUAAUCAAUUAUCGAUUAAAAACAAGUCAAAUGGCUUCGAGAUACAGGCCCAAAUUGUGGCCUAAGCCAUGAAUAGCUCAGCCGCCAGGCCUUAUGGCCUUAAUCUUGGGAUCGAUUCCCCGGGCUGAAUUUAAAUGCAGAAGUUGGGCUUGGCAUCCUUAACUUCAGAAACACACACAUUGAGUGAAGCCAAGUGACUGUAUUCAAAUUAUUUCAACCAAACGUAGUGAAUAACUAGUGAUUAAAAAAAUAACACUCAUUCAUUUGGGUCACAUUGAUGAUGAUCAAACUUCAAAAACAUUAAUUAAUCUCUAUAAAGAAACUGUGAAAUCACCUAAAACGAAAAUACCUUCUAGUAAACCAACUAAAUUAUUUUAAAAAUGAACAAUGGUAAUUGCUAAAUACAGACACAUCCACUUUCUGUUCGAUCCUCAAUUAAAAUAAGUGAGGCUAUAAGCCUAAGGAACGAGUAAUUAAUUCACACUAUCAAGCUCAACAAAAAAUGCUAUUUUAGUUUCUGAUUUUACGCUAACAGCCGUGAAGAUUCACAAUACAAACUAGAAUUACCCCAAAACACAAACACAAGAAAUUAAUUUGUAGUCUGGCAGAAUUCUACUAUACAAAUUGAUUCAAGAACUCAAAUAACAGGUUACUUCAUUGUUGAAACUAGGCAAAACAAAGUAGAUUAAAAAUCGAUUACCAACAGCAACUCUCAUGGCAUUUCGACACAUUCAUCAAAUCCAAAUUACAUCAGUGAAGAUUCAGAUGAGUACCUGGGAAUAGAGUUUCAACAAUACAAUAGGAGUCAGCAGCAGCAGUGAUAGUAUUAGAUCAAAGCCAAUGCAACUAACAGCAGUGUAUGAUCCAGAAGCAUACACUAGAACCAAGGAUAGUUUGAAAUCGACCAAGUAUGAGAAAAGUAAGCCUAAAUCAACUUCAACAGACCCACAGUAGCUCAAAUAAGUCCCAGCCCCAUUCCAAAACCCAACCAAGGUGAUUUCAGAACUUCAAAUACCCAAUACUGAACUAUAAUGGCAAACAGGUAGCUAAACAUGAAUUUGAAUCACAAAACUUCAAUGAAACGGUCUAUUAUUCUAAAAAAAAUUGUUACUGCAUUUUCUGUUUUUUUUUUUUUUUGGGUUUUAUUUUUGAGAUUUUCUAUUGUUUUUGUUUUUGAAUCUGAGGAAAACUAAGAUCUAAUGGUAUGAACUAAAAUUGAAUUGCAAAUCUGGAAUGCUGAGGAGUAUACUUGGGGGAAUUUUUUGGCUGUCGGAAGAAGAACCUCUAAGGCCUGAUACGUGGCUUAAAUAGGCCAGAAAGAAG